rnacentral:lncRNA from 1 species
AAACAGAUGAUCAGUGGCCCACGGAUUCCAGGUGAGGAUCUGGGACCCAGACAUCCAGAUAUUGAAAACACAGGGAUGGAGUCUGUAUGGAAAAAAUUAAAAUAUAGCAAAAUGUGAAAUACGGAAGAGAAAUCUUUCAAUUUCCCAAUGGAAGUGAGAAAAGAGCAAAGAAAAGUAUUGGUCUUCCAAAACAAAUAGAGGACGGAGCUGCUGCUGUUGCAUGGUGUCUAGAAACUCAGACAACUUCAUCAUUCCAUAUUUGCAUCCAAGAGAGAGAAAGAAAAACUACAAUCAUUUUCCAUUU